UGCUCUAUGCGGGAAGAAUAACCACGGUAACCUGUGGCUAAGAGUGUAGAAUAAGGUGCAAUCCUAUUAGUUUGUUGGUAGUGUAAAGGACUACCAAGGCAGUGAUGGGUAACGGGAAAUCAGGGUUUGAUUCCGGAGAGGGAGCCUGAGAGAUGGCUCCCACGUCCAAGGAUGGCAGCAGGCGCGAAAAUUGUCCACUCUUUUGAGAGGAGACAGUUAUGAAACGUGAGUAGAAGGGUCGAGUGUAAAAACCUUGACGUGAAGCAAUUGGAGGGCAAGUUUUGGUGCCAGCAGCCGCGGUAAUUCCAACUCCAAGAGUGUCUAUGGUGGAUGCUGCAGUUAAAGGGUCCGUAGUCGUAGAUGCAAUUAAAAGGUGGUGUUAAAAGCCAUUGAGUUUGUUGAGAGUAGCGGAACGGAUAGGGAGCAUGGUAUAGGUGGGCAAAGAAUGAAAUCUCAAGACCCCACCUGGACCAACGGAGGCGAAAGCGAUGCUCUUAGACGUAUCUGGGGAUCAAGGACGAAGGCUAGAGUAUCGAAAGUGAUUAGACACCGCUGUAGUUCUAGCAGUAAACUAUGCCGACAAUGCUGGGUGUUGCGAGAGCGAUGCUUGGUGUGGGAGAAAUCUUAGUUUUCGGGCUCUGGGGAUAGUACGCUCGCAAGGGUGAAACUUAAAGCGAAAUUGACGGAAGGACACUACCAGGAGUGGAUUGUGCUGCUUAAUUUAACUCAACGCGGGAAAACUUACCAGGGUCAAGUCUAUCGUAGAUUGGAGACAUGAGGUAGACAAGAGUGGUGCAUGGCCGUUGGAAAUUGAUGGGGCGACUUUUAGCUUAAGUGCUGGAACCAGUGAGAUCUUCUAGACAGGUGUUAUUUAGGCACAGGAGGGAGAAGGCAAUAACAGGUCCGUGAUGCCCUUAGAUAUCCUGGGCAGCAAGCGCAAUACAAUAUCUCUUGAGAAGACAAAGCAAUUUGAGAUGAGUAGGAUUAGCUUUUGUAAAUAA
rnacentral:rRNA from 1 species